AACAUCGCGCACCUGCGGGAACCUGCGGAAGGAUCAUUACAGAGUUGCAAGACUCCCUAAACCAUUGUGAACGUUACCUAAACCGUUGCUUCGGCGGGCGGCCCGGGUCCUUCCCGGCGCCCCUCGGCCCUCGCGGGCGCCCGCCGGAGGUAAACCAAACUAUUGCAUUGUAUGGCCUCUCUGAGUCUUCUGUACUGAAUAAGUCAAAACUUUCAGCAACGGAUCUCAGAUCGGAAGAGC
rnacentral:misc_RNA from 1 species